ACGAAGAUGACUCAUGGUCACACUUUCUGUGUAUGCGCUCUGCUAUUAGGAAGAAUCAAAAGACAGACCUAUUUCUAUUUGUUCUUAAGCUUAGAAAUACAGUUUAGAAUUUCUUAAUUUUUUAAAACCCUUUAAGAAGGACAAUAUAAAUAGCAUUUGCUGAAAUUUACUGAAAAGAACCUUGAGCUAGGGUUUUUCUGAACCUCAAGUUCAAGAGUGGAAAUAGAAGACAGUAAUCACUCUGGGCAAAGGGACCUCUUGAGCAGUCAUCCAACCCAUCCCUUCGGAUUAUUCAAGCCUGACAGAAAGAAGUGAAGCAGCACAGACCGAGAAAGGCCUGGUGACCUGGAGAUCAGACCUCUGAGAGAUGAGAGUCUGGGUUAUCCCCAAAAGUUUCUCCAGGUAAAUAUGCCCAUCAGGAUCAUGAAGGAGCUUCUCCGAGAAAGUGGAUCUGAGCUAUGCCAAGAGUGGAGCUAAGCCAUCCUAUCUCUAUGGAUGCUGGGGUCAACAGAGCCAGAUCCAGAUUGUGGCUACCAUCUCCUGCUUUAUAAGCCCUGCUGCUGCUGCUGCUGCUGCUGCUGCUAAGUCGCUUCAGUCGUGUCCAACUCUGUGCGACCCCAUAGACGGCAGCCCACCAGGCUCCCCCGUCCCUGGAAUUCUCCAGGCAAGAACACUGGAGUGGGUUGCCAUUUCCUUCUCCAGUGCAUGAAAAGUGAAAAGUAAAAGUGAAGUCACUUAGUCGUUUCCAACUCUUAACGACCCCAUAGACUGCAGCCCACCAGGCUCCUCUGUCCAUGGGAUUCUCCAGGCAAGAGCACUGGAGUGGGGUGCCAUUUCCUUCUCCAUUAUAAGCCCUAGUUUUACCCAUUUCAGUUGUUCAGUCACUCAGUCACGUCCAGCUCAUUGUGACACCAUGGGCUGCAGCAUGUCAGACUUCCCUGUCCUUCACAAUCC
rnacentral:lncRNA from 1 species